rnacentral:rRNA from 1 species
AGUGAACGCUGGCGGCAGGCCUAACACAUGCAAGUCGAGCGGCAGCGGGUUCCCGCGAGGGGAUGCCGGCGAGCGGCGGACGGGUGAGGAACACAUCGGAAUCUGCCUGGUUGUGGGGGAUAACGUAGGGAAACUUACGCUAAUACCGCAUGCGACCCUGAGUCGACGGACUGGGGGUGAAAGUGAGGGACCUUCGGGCCUCACGCGACCAGAUGAGCCGAUGUCGGANAGCUAGUUGGCGGGGUAACGGCCCGCCAAGGCGACGAUCCGUAGCUGGUCUGAGAGGAUGAUCAGCCACACUGGGACUGAGACACGGCCCAGACUCCUACGGGAGGCAGCNGUGGGGAAUCUUGGACAAGUGGGCGCAAGCCUGA